UCGUGGUGCCUAUACUGCAGUCGAACGAAGAACAUUUAGUAGCAAUACUUAAUGUUUCUUAGUGGCGAACGGGUGAGUAACGCGUUGGUGACCUACCCCAAAGAUAGGGAUAACAGUUCGAAGGGACUGCUAAUACCUAAUGUUAUCAUUUGGCUUAGAUGCCUUAUGAUUAAAGGAGCUUGCUCCACUUUGGGAGGGGCCUGCGUCCCAUCAGCUAGUUGGUAGGGUAAUGGCCUACCAAGGCUAUGACGGGUAGGGGACCUGAGAGGGUGGCCCCCCACAAUGGAACUGAAACACGGUCCAUACACCUACGGGUGGCAGCAGUAGGGAAUAUUGGUAAUCUGCGAAAGCGGGAACCAGCAACGCCGCGUGCGCGAAGAAGGCCUUCGGGUUGUAAAGCACUUUUCGGGAGGAAGAGGAAGGACUGUACUCCCGGAAUAAGUCUCGGCUAACUACGUGCCAGCAGCCGCGGUAAUACGUAGGAGGCUAACGUUAUCCGGAUUUACUGGGCGUAAAGCGCGUGUAGGCGGUUCGGUAAGUUGGACGUGAAAGCUCCCGGCUCAACUGGGAGAGGUCGUUCAAUACUGUCGGACUUGAGGAUGGUAGAGGGAGGUGGAAUUCCGGGUGUAGUGGUGAAAUGCGCAGAUAUCCGGAGGAACACCAGUGGCGAAAGCGGCCUCCUGGACCAUUCCUGACGCUCAGACGCGAAAGCUAGGGUAGCGAACGGGAUUAGAGACCCCGGUAGUCCUAGCCGUAAACGAUGUGAACUUGGCGUCGGUGGGAUUAAAUCCAUCGGUGUCGAAGCUAACGCGAUAAGUUCACCGCCUGAGGACU
rnacentral:rRNA from 1 species